UUCAGUCCAGCGCAGAUCAAACGGCGCGGUGGACCGGACGGCCACGCCGCUACAGAGCAGCAGAGCCGUCUGCCCGACGUGUCACAACAACAACAAAAAAAAGGCAUGAAACUAUUCUAACCCUAAAACAAAAAUUCUUGUCUAGGAAUCACUGCAGUUUUGUUGAGCUCGGUUGAGAUGAACCUCUAAGCCAUGAAAGUGUUUGCACAGCAUAAAAACGGUAUACCGUAUACAACAUAUUUAGGAGAAGCCAUUCUGCUGGAGUAAAUUGUUCAGGGAUGAAAUGGCAUCACAAGUUCAAAGAGUGCUCACAUCUACUGCGAUCGCACGGGCGAGGAACAGACAGAUAGACCUGUCGUGUUCCAGCAAUGAUAGCCUUUAGUCACGAGGGGUCACCUGGACCUUUUUCGACGGAUAAGAGAGCUAGAAACGGUGCCUCUUCAACUGCAAAGCAAAAGAAAACGCUAGAUUUUGGGAGCAACAGCUGCAUGUCGCUACUUUGGAGAAAUGGUACGUUCGUUGAAAAAGAGGCCCAUGUAGGGUCCACCUUUUUUGAUGAAUUCCAGUGAGCUUGUUGUUGUGGCAACAGGUUUCGACUGGCUGCUAACGCCCGGCGCUCCAGAGGAAUGUACGGCCAGUUUCACACAUGGUAGGCCCAACCUGUGAAAAACCCAGCAAAAAAAUAAAAUAAACUGUGCACGAAAA